AUGUUAUUUGCGAUCAUAAUAUCAACAUGUUUUCCAUCAAAUCCACUGGAAUUGUGGAAUAAAUACAAAGAUUUCAUGGCUGAAGACAUUUUGAUUCGACUUCGACAUCGUUCCAAUGAUCCUGCAUUGCUGCUGACAUUGGAAAUGUAUAAUGAAGCCUUGAUAAUGAUCGAAGAUUUGUGCCUUACGAUUGCAAAUAAGGCAUUAGGGCAAUUAGGAUUGACUCCACCAAAUCGUCCAAUGCAUGAUUUAUUUGAACGAGAAUUGCAACGCGAACUGCAAUUCGAUCGUAAUGAAUUGUGUGCGUUCGUACAAACGUAUACUCCACAAUUAAAUGAUCAACAAAAAUAUGUAUAUGACACAGUGAUGCAAGCUGUCAAUGACAACACUGGUGGAUUGUAUUUUUUGGAUGCACCUGGCGGCACUGGAAAAACAUUUUUGAUUUCAUUAAUACUGGCAACGAUUCGGUCGGAACAAAAAAUCGCAUUGGCUCUUGCUUCUUCCGGAAUUGCAGCUACAUUACUUGAUGGCGGCCGCACAGCACAUUCCGUCUUGAAAUUGCCAUUGAACAUGCAAGCAAUUGAAACACCAACAUGUAAUAUUUCAAGUAGUUCUGGAAUGGCUAAAGUCUUGCAACAAACAUCCAUUAUUUUAUGGGACGAAUGUCCAAUGGCCCAUAAAAAAUCUUUGGAAGCCUUAAAUCGAAUAUUACAAGAUUUGAGACGGAGUUUACAGCUGUUUGGCGGUGCAUUAAUAUUGUUAUCUGGUGAUUUUCGUCAAACGUUGCCUGUUAUUCCGAGAUCAACACCAGCUGAUGAAAUUAAUGCAUGUUUGAAAAGUUCAUUUUUGUGGGCACACGUACAAAUGCUUUCGUUGACGACCAAUAUACGUGUGCGUCUUCAAAAUGAUUCUUCAGCACGUGAGUUUUCAAAGCAAUUGCUGAAGAUUGGCGAUGGGAAAAUGGCAAGUGAUCAAAAUGGGUUUAUCACGUUACCGAAUAAUUUUUCAAUAAUUGUAUCAUCAAAAGAAGAACUCAUUGAUCGCGUUUUUCCAAAUAUUGCUCAAAAUUAUAAUAACCAUGAUUGGUUACGAGAACGUGCAAUUUUAGCACCAAAAAAUGUCAAUGUCAAUAAAAUCAAAUUCCACAUCCAGGAAAAAUUGCCAGGUAAUUCGGAAACGUAUAAAUCCAUUGAUACUGCUAUGAAUGAUGAAGACGCAGUCAAUUAUCCGGUUGAAUUUUUAAAUUAUUUGGAACCACCAGGCAUGCCACCGCAUAAUUUGAAUUUGAAAGUUGGUUCAUCGAUUAUACUUCUUCGAAAUCUUAAUACACCGAAACUUUGUAAUGGGACGAGACUUUCAGUGAAGAAAUUGAUGUCAAAUUUAAUUCAAGCAACAAUUCUCACUGGCAAAGCAAAAGGUGAAAUUGUACUAAUACCGCGCAUCCCAUUAAUACCAACGGACAUGCCAUUCGAAUUUAAACGUCUUCAAUUUCCUGUUCGGCUAUCUUUUGCUAUGACCGUCAAAAAAGCCCAAGGGCAAACGCUCCAGGUGUGUGUAGUUAAUUUAGAGGAAGCUUGCUUUUCUCACGGUCAACUGUACGUUGCAUGUUCGAGAGUUGGAGCCACGAAAAAUUUGUUUAUUUAUGCACCACAAAAUAAAACAAAAAAUGUUGUGUAUACAAUUGUAUUAAAUUGAACAUUGCUUUUCUUUUUCAUUAUUGUGUUAAGAAAUCAAAUCUUUUAAGCAAUCAAUUUUUUGCGUAGAGAAGCGCGCCGGGUAACGCUAGUAAUAAAUAAAUAUUAACUCCCUGCCUUGGGCUUGACUGAAAAAUUCAAAACCAUUAUUAGAAGAAAAUCGAGCAUAUUUUAAUGAUUUUUAUUAAUUAUGGUUAUAUAAUAGUAGUAUAUUUUAUACUACUUAAAAUAUAUUAUCUGCGUUCACAAAAAAGCGAAUAAUUGUUUCUAUUUUUUUCUUUCCUUCGCAAAUACAUCAUUUUAUAACGCAGUGUCAAAACUUUGCUGUCACUACUUACCAAACCUUUUAUAAUUGAAUCAUGUGCCGAGUAGUUGCUGCAUCACAAUUAGCUACAUUGGGGUGUCCGGAGCUGAUAGCACAUACAAGGCAGGAAUACGAAGACAUUGCCAUUCGAUUGGGCACCGAUAGGGAGUAUUUGAAAGGGAUGCGAGCAAAAGUGUGGAAAGCGCGAGUAGAAAGUCCAUUGUUUGAUUGCGGCCAAUACGCUAGGGGUUUGGAAAUGGUUUUUAAACGAAUGUGGGAUCGAUUUGCCGCAAAUGAAUUCCCGGACCAUAUUUCCGCUGUUUUGGACAAGUGAAUUUUCUAUAAACAUAUUUUAAAUAUUUAUUAUUUUACUAAUAUGAAAAUAGAAACUGAAUGUUAUUUAAAAA